ACAAAAUGUGGGUCACCAGUCCGAGUGAUUAAAUAAUCAGAGAAUCAUAUAAAUACUCAGGACACCGUGAAAAUUGUAUCAUAGUUUCUUCAGUUACAUUCCAUUGUCAGUGAUAUUACUUGGUUUCCACUAUAUUUAAAUGGUCACUAUGUGGCCUAGCUGAGGUGUAGCCGUUAAGGGCCAAAGUGAUAAAUUUCGCCAAAAUGAUAACUUUGAUAUAAUAAUACUUUUAAAAGUUAAUUUUCUAGCUCAAAUAAUCCAAAAUGUCGAGAAUCUUUUUCAUCUUCGCUAUAAUCGCAUUAUUUUCUUUGAUUGCAACAGAAGCUUGCAUUGAUAUCGGUGGAGAAUGUAAUAGACAUACUAAUAACAACUGUUGUGGAGGCUUAACAUGCACUGGAUUACUCAAUAAGGGUUAUUCGGAUUCAUGUACUCUAGUAUUUUGAAAAGUUUAUAAACUUCAAAUGACAUAUGAUUUCAACAAUUCUGUUCAAUAAAAAUAUUCUCAGUUGACGAGUUGUUUAAAUUUUAUUAUUUUCCAAUAUAUUGAAAUUUUUAUAAAAAUAAAAUAGGCCAUAAAACUUUUUCCAGAAAAUAAAUUUUUCGAAUCUUGGUGAUUUUUUUGGUAAAUUCUUUGGGAUCGAUAAAUUUGAUCUCGAAUUCAGUCUCAAAUUUUAGCUGCAAAUGAGCGUAUUCUUGACCAUAAUUAUAAACUUUGAUUGGAAAAUUCUAGAAGAAUUAAAUCGGAGUUCCUAACCUCACUUAUUGAAUUUCGACGUUGCGUUCAUUUCCGCUUUUAUACUGUAGCGGUUCAGCCCAGAAACAUAAAAAAAUGUCUAGACUCUUUCUCAUCUUCGUCAUAAUUGCAAUGUUUGCCGCAGUUGCAAUAAAAGCAUGUAGCGACUAUGGUCAUCAAUGCCAUUAUCAUAGUGAUUGCUGUCCACCUUAUAAGUGCAUCGGGCACCUCAAGAGUGGUGGUUGGGGUUGCGCAAUAAGAUUUUAGAAAAUUUAUAAGAAACUAUCAAUUUUCAAAGUCAUGUACUGUCAAUGGUGCUCUAAAUAAAAAAAUCUCAAACUGAAA